rnacentral:rRNA from 1 species
UACGGAGGGUGCAAGCGUUGUCCGGAUUUAUUGGGGUUAAAGGGUGCGUAGGCGGCUAAUUAAGUCAGCGGUGAAAUUCCACAGCUCAACUGUGGAACUGCCAUUGAUACUGGUUGGCUUGAGUACAGAUGAGGUAGGCGGAAUUGACAGUGUAGCGGUGAAAUGCUUAGAUAUUGUCAAGAACACCUAUUGCGAAGGCAGCUUACUAAGCUGUAACUGACGCUGAGGCACGAAAGCGUGGGGAUCAAACAGG